GAUGAACGCUGGCGGCGUGCCUAAUACAUGCAAGUCGAGCGAACAGACGAGGAGCUUGCUCCUCUGACGUUAGCGGCGGACGGGUGAGUAACACGUGGAUAACCUACCUAUAAGACUGGGAUAACUUCGGGAAACCGGAGCUAAUACCGGAUAAUAUAUUGAACCGCAUGGUUCAAUAGUGAAAGACGGUUUUGCUGUCACUUAUAGAUGGAUCCGCGCGGCAUUAGCUAGUUGGUAAGGUAACGGCUUACCAAGGCAACGAUGCAUAGCCGACCUGAGAGGGUGAUCGGCCACACUGGAACUGAGACACGGUCCAGACUCCUACGGGAGGCAGCAGUAGGGAAUCUUCCGCAAUGGGCGAAAGCCUGACGGAGCAACGCCGCGUGAGUGAUGAAGGUCUUCGGAUCGUAAAACUCUGUUAUUAGGGAAGAACAAAUGUGUAAGUAACUAUGCACGUCUUGACGGUACCUAAUCAGAAAGCCACGGCUAACUACGUG
rnacentral:rRNA from 1 species